rnacentral:rRNA from 1 species
GACGAACGCUGGCGGCGUGCCUAAUACAUGCAAGUAGAACGCAGUUGCGAACGGGUGAGUAACGCGUAGGUAACUGCCUGGUAGCGGGGGAUAACUAUUGGAAACGAUAGCUAAUACCGCAUACUACCAGAUGGACCUGCGUUGUAUUAGCUAGUUGGUGGGGUAACCGCACACCAAGGCAACGAUACAUAGCCGACCUGGGAGGGUGGUCGGCCAAAAUGGGACGGGAGAAAGGCCCAGACUCCUGCGGGAGGGAACAGUAGGGAAACUUCGGCAAUGGGCGGAAAGCUGAACGAGCAAAGCCGCGUGGGUGAAGAAGGUUUUCGGAUCGUAAAGCUCUGUUGUGAGAGAAGCGGUAUCUUACCAGAAAGGGACGGCUAACUACGUGCCAGCCGCCGCGGUAAUAC